CGGAAUAUAGCCCAGUUUGGUAGGGCGCCAGGCCUGGGACCAGGAGGUCGUCGGUUCGAGUCCGGCUAUUCCGA
rnacentral:tRNA from 3 species